rnacentral:RNase_P_RNA from 1 species
GAAGCAAGCCAGACCGCCGCUGGUGCAAGGGUCGAAAGGCCGCACUGGAGGAAGGUCCGGACUGCGCAGGGCGGCGUAGCAGCUAACGGCUGUCCACCGCGAGGUGAGGAUCAGAGCAACAGAGACGAGCCGAUUCAGUUCGGGUGAAACGGGCAAUCUCUACGCGCAGCAACACCAAAUAGGCACGCGACGAUCCGGCCCGGGGAGCGUGCGGGUAGGUGGCAUCGAGCCGUGCAGCGAUGCACGGCCCAGAGGAAUGGCGGUCACGGCGCCGCGCCCGCAAGGGCAAGGCGCUGCACAGAAUCCGGCCUAUCGGCUUGCUUCACAC